AUGUGGCUUAAGCGGUAACAGGCUCGCUUGGCAUGCGAGGUGUGCUGGGUUCGAUUCUCAGCCCCACAUA
rnacentral:tRNA from 1 species